rnacentral:rRNA from 1 species
AAGACCUUGCACUUUUGGAGCGGCCGAUGUCUGAUUAGCUAGUUGGUGGGGUAAUGGCCUACCAAAGCUUCGACCAGUAGCUGGUCUGAGAGGACGGCCAGCCACACUGGGACUGAGACACGGCCCAGACUCCUACGGGAGGCAGCAGUGGGGAAUUUUGGACAAUGGGCGCAAGCCUGAUCCAGCCAUGCCGCGUGAGUGAAGAAGGCCUUCGGGUUGUAAAGCUCUUUCAGCCGGGAAGAAAAGGUUGCGACUAAUAAUCGCAAUUCAUGACGGUACCGAAAGAAGAAGCACCGGCUAACUACGUGCCAGCAGCCGCGGUAAUACGUAGGGUGCGAGCGUUAAUCGGAAUUACUGGGCGUAAAGGGUGCGCAGGCGGUUUUGUAAGUCAGAUGUGAAAUCCCCGGGCUUAACCUGGGAACU